rnacentral:rRNA from 1 species
GCGGCGUGCUUGAUACAUGCAAGUCAAGGAGAACAUUAUCUUCGGAUAAUAAGUAAACUGGCGAACGGGUGAGUAACGCGUAAACAACUUGCCUCAGAGAUUGGGACAACAUUGGGAAACCAGUGCUAAUACCAAAUAAUGCAGCGGGCUCUUCGGAGCACAGUUGUUAAAGUAGGCUUCGGCUUACACUUUGAGAUAGGUUUGCGUCCGAUUAGUUAGUUGGUAGGGUAAAAGCCUACCAAGACCAAGAUCGGUAGCUGGUCUGAGAGGAUGAUCAGCCACACUGGAAUUGAGAUACGGUCCAGACUCCUACGGGAGGCAGCAGUAAGGAAUUUUGCACAAUGGGCGAAAGCCUGAUGCAGCAACGCCGCGUGAACGAUGAAGUUUUUAGGAAUGUAAAGUUCUGUCGUAUGGGAAGAGAUCUUUCGAAUGUUAAUACCAUUCGUUAAUGACGGUACCAUACAAGAAAGCACCGGCUAACUUCGU